ACCAACCAUCUUGGCAGAAGACCGUUCGAAGGCAUGCCAAAGAAAGAAAACGUGAAGCUUCUUCCUCCUUCCAAGCAUCAGUAGGGUUCAAAACUUCAAGCAAAUUAGCUGCAGGAAUCUCAAAGCGAGGGCGAAAACUCCCAAUUGCGGGCAAAGGAGCUGCGCUUCACAGUGAAAAGGGGAUAUUGUCAAGAGUUAUUCGCAGAGAACUGUACUCUGGCACGCGAUGUCAGAUCUCUCGAAUAAUGCAAAAUUGUAGGGGCCCCCUCCAAGUGCUCUGUUCCCGGCUCAAUUUGCCCCUUUAAGAAGCGGUGGACGUGGAUUUGGGAGAAGCAUCUGCAUUAGAGGUAUGUUUCGUCGGCCUCUGUCUCCAUUAGUGCUUCUCGUUUGAAGAUUUCUCUUUGUUUUUCUUCGUUGGCUGCUCAUUGGAAGCUCUGAUGCGAUGAAAUGAAUAUUGCAACUAUGCCCUGAAAGCUCAUUGAAAGCUCAGUUUGAAAGUGUUUUUGUCACGACUGUGAUUGUUUUUGGUCUUUGGUGUUAUACAACUUGCUAAAACCGUUUGAGCUGUUAGUGAUUAUUUUGUUGCGAAAAACACCAAAGAAGUUCGUUGCUUGUUUGAGAACCUACUGCUGUGCAUUUCUUUUUUCCCAAAUAUAGUCUUAUGGAUUUAAUCGACAUGGGAGUUGCUAUUUGUUUGUUUCUGCAUUGUCUUUCUGCUGCGAAGUUUUGUUUGUCUGCAUGCAUCAUGGCUCUAAAAGGGGAAAAUAUCAUUUAAUGGAGUGGUGAAAUGGACUUCGCUUUCCUAAACGUAAUGCUUGAGAAGUUGAGAAGAACACACACUACAACAUGGAAGACCAGUACUUGGAAAGAGAUCAUAGCUAAAAUGAUCAAUUUAUUUCCCGAUAAGCAACUGUUUUUGCAGAAGGUAAAGGACAAGUAUCAAAGAAUGAAGACAAAUUUCACCCGAUUUUCUGAAAUAGUGAAGCAUACAGUCGGGUGGUAUGCAGACACAAACACCAUCACAGCCGACCCAGAUGUUUGGGAUAUGUUUAUAAAGAAGAACAUGGCAUACAAGACUUUUCCGAAGCAAGGGCUGCAAGCACUACGAUUUGUAGAAGCAACUAUUUAGUUCUUCAAUGGCUACCGGUGCUUUUCGUAUAUCCUCGACCGAUCCACCUUCAACUUUAGAAGAAGAACGCCGGUUAAAUGAGGAAUUCUUAUCUAAGGGGAAGGGAAAGUAGAAAUAACAUGUCGAUCUCCAAGAAGACUCCAACGAGAGUGACAACCCCGUCCAUGUUGCAGAGCCCAUUCUAAUCGAGUCUCGACGUCGAGUGCCGAAAAGAUCUCAAAGCAAGAGCUCACAAAUGCAGGAGUGUAUGGACAUAUUCAGGGAGAGUUUCACGAAGAAACCACAGGAGACCCCACCGUCGGCAAAGAGAAGCAAGUCGGUAUCGAGCCCUGAGAAACCUGAGAAGAAUAGCAUCGAGGAAGCCCUCGAUGAGUUGGCAAAAUUGGAAUCGAGAAUCCCUCACCCCUUGUUUGUGAAAGCGGGCGUAACAUUCCUUGAUUCGGGAGUGCAAAGGCUUUUCAUGUGGUUCAAGGAGGAGUCACGAAUGGAAUGGAUAUUGCAGCUUCCUCAUCCUUGAAGAAUCCGUGAUCACAUCUUACAUAUUUUUUUUUCGAAAAACAACGUUGUUUUUUUCUUUAUUCUGACUGAACUCGUAUUGCUCAUGUUUGUUCUGUGUGUUUGCUUAUG